rnacentral:misc_RNA from 1 species
CACUCUAAACGAUUUUGGGUUCAACCAAGGCAGACGAUGAUAAAAUAUUAAGUAUUAUAGGAAGAAGUAUAAGAAUAAAAGGGAGGGAAAGACUGUUGCAACUGAAGGAGAGUAGUUGAUGGCAGUUAUAGAAGUCAAUAUGCAGCUGGAAUUAAUUAGAUAAGCGGUUACAACUGCUGAAGUGUAUAAAACAAGGGAGUUACCUUGCAACAGCAUAAAUGAAAUCUCAGAAAUAAUAUUCUUUUUCCUUCUCUCUAAUUUUCUUCCUAAUUCUUCUAUCUUCCAAUCCUCUUUCUUACUUCUUCUCUC